UACGUAGGUGGCAAGCGUUGUCCGGAUUUACUGGGCGUAAAGGGAGCGUAGGCGGACUUUUAAGUGGGAUGUGAAAUACCCGGGCUUAACCUGGGUGCUGCAUUCCAAACUGGGAGUCUAGAGUGCAGGAGGGGAAAGUGGAAUUCCUAGUGUAGCGGUGAAAUGCGUAGAGAUGCGGAGGAACACCGAUGGCGAAGGCAGCCCCCUGGGCUAACACUGACGCUCAGGCACGAAAGCGUGGGGAGCAAACAGG
rnacentral:rRNA from 1 species